rnacentral:lncRNA from 1 species
AUAGGUUAAAUUAUCAUAAUCAAUAUAUCCUAAAUUUUUACUUAAUUCUUCUCUAACUUUGUGAGCAAAUAAGGACGGUAAACCAUUAACGAAUUUUUCUUUCCAAAAUGGUUUAUUACUGUCAUUUCUCAUCAUAACUCUAGAAGUAAAUACAUCUUUGUACCAUCUAAAAUCACUUAGAGUGGGACAAGUAAGAUUGCUUAAUUGAUCAUGAAUUCUUUCUGUAAUAUUACUAGGGGUUCCAACAAAAUGUUUAAUUAUGGUAAAUAUUAAAGUAUUAACUCCAUCAGGAAGACCAAUACCAGCAUCUUCAUCAAAGAUGGGAUUGCCUUCUUUAUCUCUUUGAAUAGCAUGAACUAUGGAUAUUCUAAUGUCUUCUGUGAGAUGUUUUUCCCACCAAGACCUAAGAAUGCCAGUAAAUCCACUAGCUAAUAAUUCAACAAUAUCUGGUUGAGAUAAAGUGUUGAAUUUAGUGAUAUAACUG